rnacentral:miRNA from 1 species
AGAAAAUGAAAUUUGAAAAAAAAAAUAUCAGGGACCAAAACAGUCACUGACAAAGUUCAGUGACCGUUAUGGUCACUGAAAUUUUUUUUUUUUGGA